rnacentral:rRNA from 1 species
CUGAUUGGGUCGCGGGAUAGUGGCGACGGUGAGUACACGUGGGCAUCUGCCUGCACUCUGGGACAAGCCCUGGAACGGGGUCUAAUACCGGAUAUGACACGCUCCCGCAUGGGAUGUGUGUGGAAAGCUCCGGCGGUGCAGGAUGAGCCCGCGGCCUAUCAGCUUGUUGGUGGGGUGAUGGCCUACCAAGGCGACGACGGGUAGCCGGCCUGAGAGGGCGACCGGCCACACUGGGACUGAGACACGGCCCAGACUUCUACGGGAGGCAGCAGUGGGGAAUAUUGCACAAUGGGCGAAAGCCUGAUGCAGCGACCCCGCGUGAGGGAUGACGGCCUUCGGGUUGUAAACCUCUUUCAGCAGGGAAGAAGCGAGAGUGACGGUACCUGCAGAAGAAGCGCCGGCUAACUACGUGCCAGCAGCCGCGGUAAUACGUAGGGCGCAAGCGUUGUCCGGAAUUAUUGGGCGUAAAGAGCUCGUAGGCGGCUUGUCGCGUCGGAUGUGAAAGCCCGGGGCUUAACUCCGGGUCUGCAUUCGAUACGGGCAGGCUAGAGUUCGGUAGGGGAGAUCGGAAUUCCUGGUGUAGCGGUGAAAUGCGCAGAUAUCAGGAGGAACACCGGUGGCGAAGGCGGAUCUCUGGGCCGAUACUGACGCUGAGGAGCGAAAGCGUGGGGAGCGAACAGGAUUAGAUACCCUGGUAGUCCACGCCGUAAACGUUGGGAACUAGGUGUGGGCGACAUUCCACGUCGUCCGCGCCGCAGCUAACGCAUUAAGUUCCCCGCCUGGGGAGUACGGCCGCAAGGCUAAAACUCAAAGGAAUUGACGGGGGCCCGCACAAGCGGCGGAGCAUGUGGCUUAAUUCGACGCAACGCGAAGAACCUUACCAAGGCUUGACAUACACCGGAAACAUCCAGAGAUGGGUGCCCCCUUGUGGUCGGUGUACAGGUGGUGCAUGGCUGUCGUCAGCUCGUGUCGUGAGAUGUUGGGUUAAGUCCCGCAACGAGCGCAACCCUUGUUCUGUGUUGCCAGCAUGCCUUUCGGGGUGAUGGGGACUCACAGGAGACUGCCGGGGUCAACUCGGAGGAAGGUGGGGACGACGUCAAGUCAUCAUGCCCCUUAUGUCUUGGGCUGCACACGUGCUACAAUGGCCGGUACAAUGAGCU